UACGUAGGGUGCAAGCGUUAAUCGGAAUUACUGGGCGUAAAGCGUGCGCAGGCGGUUAUGCAAGACAGAUGUGAAAUCCCCGGGCUCAACCUGGGAACUGCAUUUGUGACUGCAUGGCUAGAGUACGGUAGAGGGGAUGGAAUUCCGGCGUGUAGCAGUGAAAUGCGUAGAUAUGCGGAGGAACACCGAUGCGAAGGCAAUCCCCUGGACCUGUACUGACGCUCAUGCACGAAAGCGUGGGGAGCAAACAGG
rnacentral:rRNA from 1 species